rnacentral:rRNA from 1 species
AUGAUGCGCCUUGACAUUGUUUCCCCUGCUAAUAUGAGCAACUUUGCCACUCUGAAAAGAAGGACUGUUUUGUAUCUGUGCAAGCAGUGGCCUGUUGUCCCAUGGACCUGGAGCAGAGAGAAUGAGUGUGAGCUAGAUGUAUUUCCCACGCAGCAUCACAAAAGAUUGUGUUGCCUGAAAAAGAGUGUGGAUUUUGUAUUGUCGGCUGCACCAAUUGGUCCUAAUUUCCUAGGAAAGCUCAUUGCGAUUAUAAGAAACUUUUGGUGGACAGGUGUAAGAGAUGAACCUACUACAGAAAGCUUGUGCCUAAGGGCAUGGGCGGACAUUUGCGUUGAGAAGAAAAUUGGCGGCUUAGGCAUCAGAAACUUGCAGGCAAUCAACCAAGGACUUAUUCUUUCGGCGGCAUGGAGGUUGGCAAAAGAACCACAUAGCCAGAUGGCUUUGAUCCUCAAGGCUAAGUAUCACCAUGAAACGUCCAUUUGGAGAGCCAAAGCAAACAAGCCGAAAUCAGCUUUCUGGGUUGCAAUACUAAAGAUGAAGCCUCUCUUAAUUUCAGCAUCUACCUAUCAGAUUAUAGACGCUAAUGAUAUUCUUCAGACUCCUAUAGUUGUUGCUGCUGGACAAGAUGCUUUGAUUUGGAAACUAACACCUGCAGGAAAUUUCUCCUCCAAGAGUGCAUAUAAGCAUUGCUUCAACAACCUUGACCUACCAGCUAGACAGCGACCGAAAGAGGUUCAUCCUCAGAUCGUUGCUCUUCUUAAUCAAGUUUGGCAGGACAAACUCAUGGCGCCACGGGUACAGACAUUUGCUUGGAGACUUCUUAGGAGAGCGCUUCCUACAUGUAAGAGAGCAAGUAAAUUCUCUAAACACAUAAAUGAAAACUGCUCCAGUCACGCCCCCGGCCCCAUAAAUCUCAGGACCGGCCCUGCACGGCACGCGUCCGAUCGCAUGAGAUGGCCAGAUCGGGGUCCUGCCUCGUGGCCUAGCACCUUGUGCGCUCUGAACGUGGUUGUGGGCAGCCCUGUCGUCGCCCUGAACCUGUUCGACAGCUGCUACGCCAUUGCCCAGCUCCCGCGACAGCAAACACUCGUAGUACUGCACGGCACGGGGUGGUUGACAGAGGUGCGUGAUCAAUCUUUUACUGUAGAUCUUGCGCCACCGAAUGUGCUGACAAAGAAUUAA